GUACUGCUGAAGAGUUCCAACUAGAACGAAACAGCUGUCCAGUAC
rnacentral:hammerhead_ribozyme from 1 species